GCCAGUUGAGGCAAACAGUUCUGAGACCAUUCUUCCCCCACUAAGACUGGGUUGGCAGGUGUUCGUGAUAAUAUUCAUCUAGGCUUCUGAGCUUGUCUGGCAGNNNNNNNNNNNNNGCAAGCUCUAGCUGCCUUCUUGUUCACUGCUUUGAUGACACCCACAGCAAUCACCUGUCUCAUGUCACGAACAACACAAUGGCCCAGAGGAGGAUAGUCUGAGAAGCUCUCAACAGAUGGGCUUGCCAGGACCCAUGUCCAUGAUUGGUGGCAUCAAGAAUUUGGGGGCCAUCUUCAGAAUGACGAUCAGUCUUCUCGUUCAGCUCAGCAAAAUUGCAAGCAAUGUGAUUUGUUUGACAGUCCAGCACAGGUGCAUAUCCAGCACUGAUUUGGGAUGGAUGGUUCAAGAUAAUUUUUGCUGUCACCAGCCACAUUGCUAUGACAAACGUCUUUGACAGCCACGUUCUUGACACUGAAGCCCACGUUGUCCCCAGGAAGGCCUUUACUCAGUGCUUCAUGGUGCAUUUCAGUAGACUUCAGUUGUUACGCUGACUGGAGCAAAGGUGACCACCAUGCCAGGUUUGAGAACACCAGUCUCCACUUGAUCCACGGUGACAGUAUCAGUACCACCAAUUUUGUAGAUGUCCUGGGGGGAUCGAACACAAGUUUGUCAGGUGAGUUGGCUGGAUGCAAUCCAGAGCUUCAAGCAAUGUGGUUCCUUUGGCAUUGUCAUCUUUACUGGUGACUUUCCAUCCCUUGAAUCAAGGCAUGUUAGCUCUUGGCUCUAGCAUCUUGUCACCAUUCCAGUCAGAAAUUGGCACAAAUGCUACUGUGUCAGGGUUGUAGCCAGUUUUCUUACUGUAGGUGCUGACUUCCUCAACAAUUUCCUCAUUUCUCUUCCGGCUAUAGGGUGGCUCAGUGGAAUCUAUUUUGUUAGUUCCAACAAUUAGUUGUUUCACACCCAGAGUGUAAGCCAGAAGGGCAUGCUCGUGGAUCUGCCCAUUCUUGGAGACUCCCGCUUCAAAUUCACCACCAGCAGCAGCAGUCCUCAGAACAGCACAGUCAGCCUGGGACACGCCUGUAAUGACACAGAUGAAGUCUCUGUGUCCUGGGGCAUCAGUGAUGGUCACAUAGCCCUUACUGGUCUUGAAUUCCCACAGGGAGAUAUCAAUGGUGAUACCACACUCAUGUUCAGCUUUCAGUUUGCCCAAGACCCAGGCAUGCUUGAAGGAGCCCUUUCCCAUCUCGGCAGCCUCCUUCUCGAAGGAGCCCUUUCCCAUCUCGGCAGCCUCCUUCUCAAACUUUUCAAUGGUUCUCUUGUCGACCCCACCACAUUUGCAGAUCGAAUGGCCAGUAGUGGUAGACUUUCCACGUGCCCGAUGACAACGAUGUUGAUGUGGGUCUUCUCCUUUCCCAUUUUUGCUUAGGUUUAGCGGUGGUUUUCACAACACCUGUGUCCUGGUGGCAAAAAUGUUGUGAGAAAGCGAUCUUUUCAUCUUAGUGAUUUAUUUGGUUUAUGGCUUCCCUCUCACUCCACUAGGAUGUAAGCUCAAGUGAUUUGUGUCUGUUUUGUUUUGUGCUCUACUCAAAUGGUUAGAAGAAUGCCUAAAACACAGAAGACCUCAAAAGGCAUCUGCUGUAUUGAGCUGGACUGAUAUAUGCUGACACCUGAGGCUAUCCUCAAUUAAAGACUCGCCACUGAUCCCUUCUCCUGGAUGCUCCAAAAGGCCAACGUUCAACAGUGCCAACUUUGCUAUGUGUAUUUAUUAACUUCAUCCCCACAGAAAUCCUAUGGUGUUGGUAGUAUUGUUAGCCCUAUUUUGGAGAUGUGGAAACAGAAGCGUGGCGGAGGAAUAAGUAGCCGAUCUACACAGCUAGUAAGUGGCAGACCCUGAUAUUUCAGCACGGGCCCCUCAGCUCUAGCGUUUGUGCAUCUUAACACUACACUGCAGCUUCCCUGGUGGCUCAGUCGGUAAGGAGUCUGCCUGCAAUGCAGGAGAUCUGGGCUUGAACCCUGGGUUGGGAAGAUCCCCUGGAGAAGGGAAUGGCAACCCACUNNNNNNNNNNNNNNNNNNNNNNNNNNNNNNNNNNNNNNNNNNNNNNGCUACAGUCCAUGGGGUCACAAAGAGUCAGACACAACUGAGCGACUAAACCUACCUACCUAAACACUACACUGUGCUGCCUCUCUGGAAAUAUACCAAUGGCUAAUCCUAAAGGAGACCUUCCUUGGUGGCUCAGUGGUAAAGAAUCCAGCUGCCAAGGCAGGAGACAAUGGGCAGAGGAGCCUGGCAGGCUACAGUCCGUGGAGUCGCAAAAGAGCCAGACACAACUCAGCGGCUAAAACACAACAAUCCUAAAGAAAUCUUCAAGUGGUCAGAUAGGUUACCUGGAUGGAAAUAUCAGAAUCCAUGAGUUAACUGCCUUUCAAAUGACAAAAUACUGAAUCCAUUUCUGUUAAAAAAUUUCAAGUGAGAAGAAUACUCUUUGUUCAAGGCAUCUUGACAACAUCAAAAAUCAAGAAAGAAAGAAAAAAACAAAACAAAACAAAACACUAGCUCUUUCCUUGAAUAGAUAGCCUCAGAGUCUAUUGCCGGUCCCCAGUUGCAUUAUCUUUCCUUUGACCAUGGUGUGCCGUNNNNNNNNNNNNNNNNNNNNNNNNNNNNNNNNNNNNNNNNNNNNNNNNNNNNNNNNNNNNNNNNNNNNNNNNNNNNNNNNNNNNNNNNNNNNNNNNNNNCCAGUUGCAUUAUCUUUCCUUUGACCAUGGUGUGCCGUGCAUACAUGUGUGACUUCCACCCAACACCACUUCUUGCCGAUGGUGAUAAUGGAGGCCCCAUAUGUCUCUGUGGACUGAGAGAUCUCAUUUGGUUACUAUAGGACCCAUAUGCCCUUCAGAAAGAACAUCUUAGAGAAAAGUGCAUCAAACAUGCAUGCAGAAAAUACCUUAGAUAAUUCUUGGCUCGGGCAUUGCCUAGCUCUGGAUAAAUUUAGGCAAACUGCUUCAUCAUCACAAACCUCAGCUUCCUCAUUAGGAGAAUAAGGAUAGUAAAACCCAGUAGACUGGGUUGUUGUGAGGAGUAAUUGAGGUCAUGCAGGAAAAAGAGAUCACACAGUGCCUGAAACAUUGUAGGUACCCAAUAUAGAAUUGGUGGUUUGAAAUAAUAAUGUCAGAGUAGAUGGAAUCUAUUUCCUCCACAAAAUACCAUGUAAUGUGCUUUACUCUUUCUUUUCAAAUUUAUGCAAUAUAUAACCAAAGUUUGGGGACCUGCUGCUGACUUAACCUGUAAAUAGUUUGGGUGCAUACUUACAUCUACAGAUGAGUCCUGAUUUUACAAGAGAGUUGGGGCAGGCUGUCUGGGUCUGGCUGCCUUUUAUCUGGNNNNNNNNGAAGUUAUGUUCUACAUAGUCAUUCUGACUGUCAGGUAACUGUCUUGAGAGGAGAGCUGGGACAUAAUGCAGGAAUUCAGAAAACUGAUCAAGUUGUGGAUUUAUCUAAAACAGGUAUAUUUAGGGCUUCACCUUAGUGCCUGCCAGAGGGACAGGUAUAAUGUUAGCAUAUGUUUAUUGGAUUUCUUGUGCUUAUAUUUUCAAGUUCCUGCCUUGCUAACUCUGAUAUUUAGUUCAGACAACAGCUAUGUCUUUUGUGGGAGGUGCAAGACAGGGCUGGAAGCAAUGCCAUUUCCUGAAGGGUUGCUAUGUGCCAUACAUUUUAGACAGCAAUACCUUGAAAAGAAACAGAGAUUGCAAUAACCAACAGGUCAAUUAUAGGGGGAAUUGUCACUCUGUAUUUGUUGACCAUUGGUAUAGUUUUGAAUUUUUUUAAAGAAUGGGAAUAUAUGAGUUCCUGUGUAUGUCUAUGAUUUUUUUUGAGAGA
rnacentral:lncRNA from 1 species